AAAUGUGAGGGCAAUAUGGCACCCCAUUGAUCACCAGGGUUGAUUCGGCUGAUCUAGCUGGCUAGGCGGGUGUCCUCUUCCUCCCUCACCACUCCAUGUGCGCCCCUCCCAAAGCUGUGUGCUUGGUCAAAGAGGAUGGCCUUCCCAAAUAGAGGCAUACUGGUCUUUGGCUGAGGUUAUGCGGUUAUACAAGUAGCUGAACUCCCCUGCUAGAACCUUCAAACAAGCUCUCAAGAAUAGGGAAGCUUUCAAUGGAGAGGACAGGAUACAGAUUCUGUUGCUGGGCAUUGUAUGAAAUUGUACCUCUCUUA
ensembl:misc_RNA 7SK 7SK RNA